CAGUAGCCGCGGGAACACGAGCCGUCCGAACGUUAUUCGGAAUCACUGGGCUUAAAGCGCGUGUAGGCGGCGUGGCACGUCGGACGUUGAAAUCCCCCAGCUUAACCGGGGAAGUGGCGCCGAUACGGCCAUGCUGGAGGGAGGUAGGGGGGCCUGGAACUUCCGGUGGAGCGGUGAGAUGCGUAGAGAUGUGGAGGAACACCAGUGGCGAAGGCGACUCUCUGGUCUGUAACUGACGCUGAGGAGCGAAAGCGUGGGGAGCGAACAGGAUUAGAUACCCCUGUAGUCCCUGUCUCUUAUA
rnacentral:rRNA from 1 species